GUUCUGUUCUUUUGUCCUUAAAUCCUAGACCACCGGCGCAAAGAGAUGGGAUUAGAGAUAGAACAGGUUACGUCGCAAACGUAUAGUCUGGAUGCAAAUCUAUGCUUGCUUCGUCUCUACCAGUUUGAGCCUGAGCGUAUGAAUACUCAUGUUGUGGCUCGUAUCUUGAUCAAGGCUCUUAUGGCUAUGCCAACUCCAGACUUCAGUCUUUGCCUCUUCUUGAUUCCCGAACGAGUGCAAAUGGAGGAGCAGUUCAAGGCACUCAUUGUUCUCUCCCACUACCUUGAGAAAACUUGUUUUGCUCUUGUAGACUGGGAGGUUCCAACAGUUUUGGGAUGAAGCUGCCAAGAACCGUCACUUUCUCGAGUCUGUUCCAGGUUUUGAGGAAGCUAUCCAAAGCAUAUGCAAGUCACCUUCUUAGCUUAAGCUACCAAAAGCUUCCAAGAUCUGUUCUUGCCGAGGCUGUUAAACAUGGAUGGUGCAUCUCUGGACAAGUUCAUUGAGCACCAAGUGGCUAACAGUGGAUGGAUUCUUGAGAAAGAAAAUGGAAGUAUCGUCUUACCGCAGAAUGAAUUUAACCAUCCGGAGCUAAAGAAAAACGCAGGUGAGAAUGUUCCCUUGGAACACAUCGCCCGCAUCUUCCCCAUCCUUGGUUGAACCAAAGUGUGAUGACUGCAAACGUUUUUUUUUUGUCUUUCAACAAUACUUAAAAGACUGUAAAUUGAUUUUGGCAUUUACCUGCCUUAUUUAUUACAUUUCUGCUCAUA